rnacentral:lncRNA from 10 species
CCUCCUUCGUUCUGGGGUCCAGGCUGAGCAAGCUGUGGCUCUCUGGAACAUGCCGUUCUCCUGACAAGGGAGGACAUGGAGGAGAGAUGGAGAAACCAUGCCACACUCUCCCAGCGGCCAUGCACAGCUGGGAUGUGUCGCUUGCACUCCCAUGUCACUGGCCAGAGCAAGUCACAUGGCCAAGGAGGGGCAGGGAAGAGCACUUCCUCCUCCAGGUGGUGCCAGCUCUGGGACUGGGUUUUAGCUUUCCUUACAAAGGAAGAGCUGGCCCGUUACCGCAGCAGGGAUGCUGACAGAAGACGUGAAACUCCGGGGUCAGAGACAAAGGACUUUUUCAUUCAUGGCGUGGCAGGCAGGUGCUCACCUGUGUGUUUGGUCUUAUCCCCUUGCCCCCAAAUUCCACGGGUGCCAUGUGGGUAGGCCUGGGUGGGCACUGCACAGUCAGUAGGUUUGCGUGGCCACUGAGGAGCCCUGCACUGGGGGAGUCAGCUGUUUCUGCAGCAAGCAGUGAGCAAGCUGCUCUUUGUCCCUAGAGGACUCUCAGGGCAAACCACCCUGAGAAAUGGGGGAGGGUACUCAGGGCCUGCAUUCCUGGCACACCCUGUGAGAGGUGGGGGGCACGAGACACUCGUGGAGGACUGCCCUCUUAACAGGAGAAGCUGCCAGUACCAGAGGCCAAAGAGACUUACCCAGAGAUUUCACCGGCAUCCCUGGGCUGCCUGGUGCCACAUAUGUGAAAACAGUCAUUUCAUGACCCAAGCAAAACGGAGCUGGGAGGCCUCAACGGAAGGUCCCUCAUGCUCGGGUGCCUAUGAUGAGAACUGUUACAGGGACUCCGACAGCACACAACAUUCCAGAUCAGCUGCUCCUAUGAAGACAUCUCCCCCGCAACAAUCAUGUUACCCAUGAGUAAUCACCAACCCUGCAAUAAGCUCCUGUACCCAGGGAGGUUUAUUCCAAAACAAUCUGUGUAGACUUCCUCUUCCCACCCCUAAAAGAAAGAUACACCUACGGUCCCCCUCAGCAUGCAUAUCCCAGAUUGCAAUCCCCUGCCAUCCCCCAGUAAACUUUAUUUGGGAGAGCCAGUCUCUCUGUUGUUUAUUUUACAUUGACAAGUUGCAGCAUCGUGGCCAGCAGCAGAAGUCCUACUAGGCUUCUUGAGUCUGUGGGUUGGUAUCUUUAAUCAGUUUGGGAAUUCUUUUAUUUUAUUUGUUUGUUUGUUUGUUUUGAGAUGCAGUUUUGCUCUUGUUGCCCAGGCUGGAGUGCAACGGCUCGAUCUCAGCUCGCUGCAACCUCUGCCUCUUGGGUUCAAGCGAUUCUCCUGCCUCAGCCUCUGGAGUAGCUGAGAUUACGGGUGCCCACCACCCAUGCCCAGCUAACUUUUGUAUUUUAGUAGAGACAAGGUUUCACCAUGUUGGUCAGGCUGGUCUUGAACUCCUGACUUCAGGUGAUCCACCCGCCAUGGCCUUCCAAAGUGCUGAGAUUACAGGCGUGAGCCAGCGUGCCCGGCUGGGAAUUCUUUUUUUUUUAACACUAUCUUAUGAUGUCUCAUUCUUUCCUUCCUUCCUUC